rnacentral:rRNA from 2 species
UUUAUAUGAGAGUUUGAUCCUGGCUCAGGAUGAACGCCGGCGGUGUGCCUAAUACAUGCAAGUCGUACGCACUGGCCCAACUGAUUGAUGGUGCUUGCACCUGAUUGACGAUGGAUCACCAGUGAGUGGCGGACGGGUGAGUAACACGUAGGCAACCUGCCCCGGAGCGGGGGAUAACAUUUGGAAACAGAUGCUAAUACCGCAUAACAACAAAAGUCACAUGGCUUUUGUUUGAAAGAUGGCUUUGGCUAUCACUCUGGGAUGGACCUGCGGUGCAUUAGCUAGUUGGUAAGGUAACGGCUUACCAAGGCGAUGAUGCAUAGCCGAGUUGAGAGACUGAUCGGCCACAAUGGAACUGAGACACGGUCCAUACUCCUACGGGAGGCAGCAGUAGGGAAUCUUCCACAAUGGGCGCAAGCCUGAUGGAGCAACACCGCGUGAGUGAAGAAGGGUUUCGGCUCGUAAAGCUCUGUUGUUGGAGAAGAACGUGCGUGAGAGUAACUGUUCACGCAGUGACGGUAUCCAACCAGAAAGUCACGGCUAACUACGUGCCAGCAGCCGCGGUAAUACGUAGGUGGCAAGCGUUAUCCGGAUUUAUUGGGCGUAAAGCGAGCGCAGGCGGUUGCUUAGGUCUGAUGUGAAAGCCUUCGGCUUAACCGAAGAAGUGCAUCGGAAACCGGGCAACUUGAGUGCAGAAGAGGACAGUGGAACUCCAUGUGUAGCGGUGGAAUGCGUAGAUAUAUGGAAGAACACCAGUGGCGAAGGCGGCUGUCUGGUCUGCAACUGACGCUGAGGCUCGAAAGCAUGGGUAGCGAACAGGAUUAGAUACCCUGGUAGUCCAUGCCGUAAACGAUGAGUGCUAGGUGUUGGAGGGUUUCCGCCCUUCAGUGCCGGAGCUAACGCAUUAAGCACUCCGCCUGGGGAGUACGACCGCAAGGUUGAAACUCAAAGGAAUUGACGGGGGCCCGCACAAGCGGUGGAGCAUGUGGUUUAAUUCGAAGCUACGCGAAGAACCUUACCAGGUCUUGACAUCUUGCGCUAACCUUAGA